ACGGCCAUACCCUACAUUGAAAACAUCGGUUUUCGUCUGAUCACCGAAGUUAAGCAAUGUCGGGGCCCGGUCAGUACUUGGGAGGGUGACCACCUGGGAACACUGGGUGCUGUAGGCU
rnacentral:rRNA from 1 species